CCACAUGGAUUAAGUAAAAUAAAUAAAAAAAAAGAUUCGAGAUUUCUGCUAUCUUGCUUUCACGGCAUAAAAGGAAAAGUUUUCUGUACAAAAUUGUUACUGGCGAUGAAAAAUGAAAAAUACAUCUGAUAUGAUU